rnacentral:rRNA from 1 species
UACGUAGGGUGCAAGCGUUGUCCGGAAUUAUUGGGCGUAAAGAGCUCGUAGGCGGUCUGUCGCGUCUGCUGUGAAAACUCAGGGCUUAACCCUGAGCUUGCAGUGGGUACGGGCAGACUAGAGUGCGGUAGGGGAGACUGGAAUUCCUGGUGUAGCGGUGAAAUGCGCAGAUAUCAGGGAGGGAACACCGGUGGGCGAAGGCGGGUCUCUGGGCCGUAACUGA